CCUGAGGACACACAGUAUUCAAAAAGAUACUGGUUUCACCAAAAGGCCAAUUUCAGUCAGUGUGGUAUGUGGUGAUGAGAAAUUGACAGAGAAUCUGCAGUCUUCAAGAACCAAAGACGAGAUUCUGGGACACCCACAGCUGCUGGAGAGGCUCCUCUGACACUAAGCUGAUGGGGAAAGAGGAUUUCCAACUUUUACUGCCAGCACCAGCUGGUGUUUCCAGGAUGCCAAUUUCUCUAUCACCCAGACUGGGAAAUGUGAACAUAAAAGAAGACCCAGGGAAUUUACUCAUUUUUCCUUGGAUUCCAAGAUCCCUGGAUAGACUGUCUUCUUCCAUCCAUCAUUCACAGUCUUCUUAUGCUUUCCCUGAGUUUUUGGAUACAUUUACUUGGGGGAAUAGAGAAAAGUGCAUCAACUACAUGUUUUCUGUUCUUGAUUUUCAGAGAUUUUUUUGGCUCUAAAAUUUUACUUUUGUAGAAAUUUUUCAAAUAUCAAAUACUUAGAUAAAAUAGCACAUCCUCUAAGUCUUUUUCCAUUCUAAGUCUUACUUUUAUGAAGAUUUAAUUUCUCUCAUGUGCUCAAAAAUAUCUUGUACAACUCUCAAUUAGAGUACUUAUCCACUUUAAAUGUAUGAAAAUUAAAUGUCUCCUUUACCCAAGUCUUAGAUCCAAAAAGCAAGGAGCAUGCCCUUCAUCUUGGUACUAACAUAACUAUGCAAAAUUCCCCUUGUAUAAAUGGAUGUUGAUACGUGUAAUUCAACCAGAUUAUUAGAAUAUGAGUAACUUCUAUCUAUAUGACUUUCGAAAAGUUAAUCUGUCUGAAUUGGGUUUUCUCAUUUAUAUAUCAAC
rnacentral:lncRNA from 1 species